GACAGAGGAUGCAAGCGUUAUCCGGAAUGAUUGGGCGUAAAGCGUCUGUAGGUGGCUUUUCAAGUCCGCCGUCAAAUCCCAGGGCUCAACCCUGGACAGGCGGUGGAAACUGCCAAGCUGGAGUACGGUAGGGGCAGAGGGAAUUUCCGGUGGAGCGGUGAAAUGCGUAGAGAUCAUGAGGAAGACCAGUGGCGAAGGCGGGUCUCUGGACAGUUCCUGACACUGAGACACGAAGGCCAGGGGAGCAAACGGG
rnacentral:rRNA from 1 species